rnacentral:rRNA from 1 species
AGAGGGUGCGAGCGUUAAUCGGAAUUACUGGGCGUAAAGCGUGCGUAGACGGUUAUUUAAGUCGGAUGUGAAAGCCCCGGGCUCAACCUGGGAAUUGCAUUCGAGACUGAAUAGCUAGGGUGCGGUAGAGGGAAGCGGAAUUUCCGGUGUAGCGGUGAAAUGCGUAGAUAUCGGAAGGAACAUCAGUGGCGAAAGCGGCUUCCUGGACCAGCACCGACGUUCAGGCACGAAAGCGUGGGGAGCAAACAGGAUUAGAUACCCUGGUAGUCCACGCCAUAAACGAUGAGGACUAGACGUUGGAGGGGUAAGCCUUUCAGUGUCGUAGCUAACGCGCUAAGUCCUCCGCCUGGGGAGUACGGCCGCAAGGUUA